CGAGUUGCUAAUCACGCUCGGCUCGCCUUUUGCCACUGGCUGAGGUGCAUUUGCAGGCGUUUGCGCUGAGACUUGCGGUUCAGCUUCUGGACCCGGGCCUAGAGGCUGUCCUCUGGGCAGAACUUGGGCACGGCGACGGUUGUUUGGGCUGCUCGUACCACGGCUUGGCCUACGGACUGGGGCGCUGUCGUUGUUUUCGGGCGUUGGCAUCGCAUGCGAUGACUCGUUCGGGGGCUGCGGCUGUGUUUCACGUUCCCAAGUCGGCUCUCGGUGUAAAAGCUGGUCACCUAUCCGACCCGUCUUGAAACACGGACCAAGGAGUUUAGCGUAUACGCGAGCCAUUGGGUGAUCAAACUCACAGGCACAAUGAAAGUGAAGGCCCAGCCGCUGGGCUGACAUGCGAGUCGGUGGCCCUCGGGCUGCCGAUGCAGCAUGGUCCCGUUCCAGUCGCUUGCGACGGAGCGGAGACAGAGCGUAUGCGCUGAGACCCGAAAGAUGGUGAACUAUUCCUGAGCAGGAUGAAGCCAGAGGAAACUCUGGUGGAAGUCCGAAGCGAUUCUGACGUGCAAAUCGAUCGUCUGACUUGGGUAUAGGGGC
rnacentral:rRNA from 1 species